rnacentral:rRNA from 1 species
CGUAGGGCGCGAGCGUUGUCCGGAAUUAUUGGGCGUAAAGAGCUUGUAGGCGGUUUGUCGCGUCUGCUGUGAAAGGCCGGAGCUUAACUCCGUGUAUUGCAGUGGGUACGGGCAGACUAGAGUGCAGUAGGGGAGACUGGAAUUCCUGGUGUAGCGGUGGAAUGCGCAGAUAUCAGGAGGAACACCGAUGGCGAAGGCAGGUCUCUGGGCUGUAACUGACGCUGAGAAGCGAAAGCAUGGGAGCGAACAGGAUU